rnacentral:rRNA from 1 species
UACGAAGGGGGCGAGGCGUUGUUCGGAUUUACUGGGCGUAAAGGGCGCGUAGGCGGCGCCGCAAGUCGCGUGUGAAAGCCCCGGGCUCCAACCUGGGAGGUGACGCGCGAGACUGUGGUGGCUGGAGUUCGGGAGAGGAGCGUGGAAUUCCCAGUGUAGAGGUGAAAUUCGUAGAUAUUGGGAAGAACACCGGUGGCGAAGGCGGCGCUCUGGACCGAGACUGACGCUGAG